CCAGCACUUUGGUUAGCAGUAAAUGGUUCUUAACUACUUAAAUCAAAUACCAAAUUUUGCUAAUUUUAUGAUCUAAAUAUUUCUUGAUGCUAUUCCCUUUUUUUCAUCUCUCUUGGGAUGACUGCAGCAGCCUCUUAACUAGCCUCCCAAACUUUAUACCAUAAUCCACUCUCCACUGUACAGCCAGAGGGAUUAUGCCACUCACCAGCUUCCCAACACUCACAUAUUUGUGAGCUAUCUGUAGCUCCCCAGUGUAUGUGGGAUAAAGGCCAAAAUCCACAAACAUGGCUUAUGAACCCUAUGAGGGUUGGUCCUUGUUUGUAUCUCUGAUAUCAUCUUGCAUACUUUUCUUCACUUUCUGCUGCCCAGCUACGCUGGUCUGUCUGUAUUACUUAAACAUGCACAUUUCUUCUGACCAAAGAGCCUUUAACUGUCUCUCUAUCUGGCACAUUGUUAUUGUUGUUAGUUGCUGUUAAGUCUAUUCCAACUCAUGGCGACCCCGUGUGUGCAGAGUAGAACGGCUCCAUAGGGCUUUCAAGGCUGUGACCUUUUGGAAGCAGAUCGUCGGGUCUUUCUUCUGAGGCACACCUGGGUGGGUUCGAACCGCCAACCUUUCAAUUAGUAGUUGAGUGCUUAAUCAUUUGUGCCACCCAGGGACUCCUGCCUGGCGUGGUCUUCCCUAAAUAACUUAUUCAUCAUUUGAAUCUUAGCCCAAACCCUGUUUUUCCUGGGAUGCCUUCUCUGACCAGAUCAAAUAUGGCCAUCAUGGGCUCCUAGUGGGCACCGUGAAUCUCUCCUAGCUCUUGUCACCGCUAUAAUGUUGAGUUUGUUCAUGGAACUGUUACUUGAUGUAUAUCUCCACUCUCUUCCAGGUGCUGAGUAUUUCUAGCCUCUAGCACAGGUUCACACUUAGAAGUACAAAUAAUUGUUGAAUGAAUGAAACUGUUUCCCUUUCCUCCAGCCUUGUUCCCCUCAAAUCUGCCCUGAACACAUGUUACUGAAAGGACUCAUCAGACCUUGUCCCUGCACUGCCCUUACAGGGCUCUCUGCAGUCUGCAGGAAGUCCAGCCUUGGGCCACACAAGCCUGUUCUGAUCUUUAUGCCCUCUGGCUUGAUUUCCUUCUCUCUCUUGGUCAUUUGAUGCCCAGACCGGCUUCUUGUUUUCAGCACACACCAGGCUAUGUCACACUUAGAGACCUUUGCUCCUUAUGUAUAAAAAAAUUAAAAAAAAAAAUUUUUUUUUUUCAUGAGAAUUCACUGAUGGUUAACAUUUUUGCCACAUUUGCAUGUUCUCUCACACUUUCUUUCUCUCUCCAUAUAUGUGUACCUGUGGGUAUAUGUACACUUGGGGGAGCAUUUGAGAGUAAGUUGCAACCAUCAUGGCAUUUCAUCCCCAAAUAUUUUGGCAUCUCCUAAAAAUAAGGCCAUCCUCUCUAAAACCACAAUUAUCAUGCUUAGGAAAUUAAGCAUUAAUGUAAUGCUGUUAUACCAUAUUCUUAUUUCCCUAAUUGUCCCAAUAAUGAACUAUACAGCUUCGGUUUUGGUUUUGGUUUUGAUAUUUCCUCCAAUAUCUCAUCUCAUUCUCUUCUGUCCUGCCCCCUGUUCUGCAUGUGGCUUCUCAACCCUACCUCCUCCUAUUCUCUUUGAUUUGGGAAUAGGCGAGAAGCUGGGAGCUGUACCCCAAAACCUGCUUCCUCUUCUUCCUGAGCGCACAGUUUGACUUCCUUUCUGAGCCUCCCUUGAAGUUGAGUGUGGGCAUGUAGCCGAAUUUUAAGGACAGCGAUGGGUACAAUUUCUAGGCCAAGGUUUUUAAGAGGCUUGUGGAUCACUUCCACACACUUCCCUUCUUCCUGCUGGACGUAGACAUGAAGACAAAGCUAAAGCAGACGGUGGAGCCACAAGAUAGAAGGAACCUCGGGUUGUCAAAUCACUCGAUAGGAGGAAAGUCUCAUGCCAGCCUUGGUUGGUAGGUGAACAAAAGAUAGGCUUUGAUUAUGUUUGAGCCAUUACCCAUUUGGGGGCUCUAUUUGUUACAGCAGCUAACAGAACCAAAUGAACUUAAAGGUCCAACUAUGGAAAAGGGAAGUCCCUGAGUGGUGCAAAUAGUUUGUGCUAAGCUGCUAAUCAAAAGGUUGGCUGUUUGAACCCACCUAAUGGAAACCCUGGUGGUGUAGUGCUUAAGUGCUACAGCUGCUAACCAAAAGGUUGGCAGUUUGAAUCCACCAGGCACUGCUUGGGAACUCUAUGGGGCAGCUCUACUCUGUCCAAUAUGGUCGCUAUGAGUCAGAAUCAACUUGAUGGCAGUGGGUUUGGUUUUGGGUAAUGGCAUCACAGAAGAAAGGCCUGGUAAUCUGUUUCUAUAAAGAUUAUAGCCAAGAAAACCCUAUGGAGCAGUUCUACUCUGUACCAUAUGGGGUUGCCAUGAGUUGGAAUUGACUCAAUGGCAAUGAGGGUAAAAAAGGGAACUGGGACUAGACAAACUUCUCAUUCAGAACCUCUUCUCUCAGAAGAGAGUGAGAAGCGCAGGAGGAGCUUCAGCCAUCACAGGCUGGGAAACAGGCAGCCUCAGGAGCUGAAGCCCGGAGCCAGAGAAGGAGCCCCAAUAAUGCAGAUCUCUAUCUUCUGAUGUACCCUCUGGCUUCAUGCCACACCAGCCUUUGCCCUAGCUGCUGACUCUCCUUCCUCCAUUGGAUUCUAUUCUCAAGCCAGCAUCGUCUUGGUGAAGAAGCACGAUCUAGGCGCUCUGGUGAAGCUGGUUCGCCUCCUCUAAUAAGCAGGCCUCAGAUUUUCUUGGCAUCUUUCUGCAUCUCCCUGGAUGGUUUGUCUCACCACAUGGGAGGGACCUCUCUCUUCUCUCCUUACCACCUGAGGCCUUCUGUUCUCAUUUACUUGGCAGUCAAUUGCAUACCAUCCAGUGACAGCUUUUACUUUUUACAUACUGCAAUAAUAUACUUUUAUUUACUAUUAAUUCUAUUGUUGUUGUUGCUAUUUGCCAUCAUGUCAGCUCCAACUCAUGGCAACCUUAUGUAUCGAUGGAUAGUUUGCCAUUGAGUCAAUUCCGACUCAUAGUGAGCAUAGAAGACAGAAUAGAACUGCCCCAUAGAGUCCCCGAGUGUAAAACAUGCCCCAUAGGGUUACCAAGGAGGAGCUGGUGCACUCGAACUUCCAGCCUUUUGGUUAGCAGCCAAGCUCUUAAACCCUGUGCCACCAGGGCUCCAGGGCCUCAUGUAUAAUGGAGCAAAAUGUUGCCUGGUCCUGCGCCAUCUUCACAAUCAUUGCUAUGUCUGAGUCCAUUGUUGCAGCCACCGUGUAGUACCUUCCAACCUAGAAGCUCAUCUUCCAGUGCUAUACCAAAAAAAAAAAAAAGAAACCAAACCUGUUGCCGUCCAGUUGAUUCUGACUCAUAUCAACCCUUCAGGACAGAGUAGAACUGCCCCAUAUGGUUUCCAGUGAGUGGCUGGUUCAUUCAAACUGCUGAUCUUUUUGUUAGCAGCCAAACUCUUAAACACUGUCCGCCAGGGCUCCUCCAGUGCUAUAUCAGACAAUAUUCGAUUGUGUUCCAUAUAGUUUUCAUUUGCUAAUUUUUUGCAAAUAUGAUUGCCAGGCCUUUCUUCCUAGUCUGCCUUAGUUUGAAGGCUCCACUGAACCUGUCCAUCAUGGGUAACCCUGGUGGUAUUUAAAAUACUUGUGCAAACUUACAGAUGGGUGGUGGAUUAGUUCUAUUGGUAUCUAACAUUUACUGAGUACAUAUGACGUGCUGGUAGGACUUGGCAAUGGACUUGUCUGGGGAUAGAGCAUUGUUAAUCUAGCCCUAAACCAUUAGGUUUCUAUGGAGUAUAUGCUCAAAUAAAAUCAGUAACUGAAAGCAUAUUUGUUAAAAGAGAGAGAAAAAAAUAAAUAAGAUCUAGUCAACUUUACCCAUUAAAGGACAAGUAAGGACAUGUUGAGGAGUCCUGGUGGCACAGUGUUUAAGCUCUCAGCUCCUAACUGUUCAAACCCACCAGCUGCUCCGUGGGAGAAAGAUGUGGCACUCUGCUUCAGUAAAGGUUACAGCCCGGGAAACCCUAUAGGGGCAGCUCUACUCUGUCCUACAGGGUUGCUGUGAGUCAGAAUGGACUCAACAGUAUACAACAACAAGAAGGACAUGUUAUGCAAUAGUUUCAAAAUAACAUUAACAGGAACUUAUUUAUUUAAAGAAGUUGUCAAGGAUGUCUCUUAACGUUUCCAAACUCAGUGCCCUGAGAAACUUGGAGCACCGUUAAGAGAAGCUGGGAAAUGAGGAGGCAGAGCAGACUUGAUGGUGCUGGUGGGAAAUGGUAGGUUUGGGGUUGUGGACAAGUUCACAAAACCCCAAAGCAAACAGUGUUCUUAUCAGCCAGCACCAGGCAUUCUCUCCCUCCUUCCACGGUGGUCCACAGGCACUGCCAAGCUCUGGUUCCCCUACACUUCUUUAUACCUUUCGGGAGCCUUCCCUUCAUCUUAUAUAGCCCCAAGACCUACUAUAACCAAGGUAAAUCCGUCCACAACCAGAGGUUGGAAGGCACUACAUGGUGCCCACACACCACCAGCAUAUGUCCUCCAGGUAACCAGUCCUACUGUAGGCGGCUGACCCUUCUCAAAACUUCCCACUCUGGAGUCCGACCACUCCCUAGGAGUGUUAGUCGGCUUCAGUCUGAUGAUGAAUUCCUUCAAGGCCAUGGUAGGACAUACAUGUGAAAAUGUCUCAUCAAGCACUUGGCAAUUUGGGAAUGGAGUUGAAGAGAGAGGAUAGAACAGAAGUAGAUGUAGGUAUCCUUCCCAGUGGAUGGUCACACCUUAAAUAAAAGUCUUCCAGCAUCAGAAGUCUGGGUGAAGAGGCAAACUUUCACCACGGUGAGUAAAACAUCAUCAGCGCUUCUUGGACUUCUCUACCUGAGAUAGAGAAGAUUCACUGAGACUCAAGGAUCCGGGGGCUGCAGCCCUAGCAGCUUACCUUCUUUUUUUUAAUUGAGGUAAAAAUAUAAUGACAAAACAUACACCAGCUGUCAUGGAUUGAAUCGUGUCCCCCCAAAAUAUCUGUCAACUUGGCUAGGGCAUGAUUCCCAGCGUUGUGUGAUUGUCCAUCAUUUUGUCAUCUGAUGUGAUUUUCCUAUGUGUUGUAAAUUCUGCCUUUAUGAUGUUAAUGAGGCAAGAUUACAGGCAGUUAUGUAAAUGAGCCAGAACUCAAUCUACAAGAUUAGGUUAUGUCUUAAGUCAAACUCCUUUGAGAUUUAAAAGAGAGAAGUGAGCAGAGAGACAUGGGGACUUCAUACCACAAGAAAGAAGCACAGGGAGCAUAAUGCAUCCUUUGGACCUGAGCUAAGAAGCUCCUUGACCAGGGAAGACUGAUGACAAGGACCUUCCCCUAGAGCUGACAGAGAGAGAAAGCCUCCCCCUAGAGAUGACCCCCUGAAUUUGAACGUCCAUCUUCCUAGACUGUGAGAGAAUAUAUUUCUCUUUGUUAAAGCCAUCCACUUGUGGUAUUUCUGUUAUAGCAGCACUAGGUGAAUAAGAUACCAACUCAAAGUCACUUACCUUUGAAGCCUCCUGUUUCAUCUUAAAAAGUCAUGUGAAUUUUACAUUCUAUAAAUAAUAUACAAAUAAGAUUUUAAAUUACCUUUGACUAAAAUUGACUUUGCAAGAUGACAGGCUGCCUUUAGCCUGUGGCAUCACAGAGGAUAAGUUUUCCCAGACACACCCCCACGCAAGGGAGCUCACACUUUAGCUUGAGAAGCGAGAUGUUCAGCAAGGAACUUUUUUUUCCUUUUUGGCAGGAAUUUGAUCAUUGGAUUGUGGUGAACUAACAAGAGAAGUCUUAGGGAGUGAGGGGACCCCAGAACUAGAAGUCUUUUUUUUCCGUACUUUAGCUGAAGGUUUACAGAAUGAACUAGCUUCCUCAUUAAACGGUUAGUACACAUACUGUUUUAAGACAUUGGUUAAGAACCCCACAACACAUCAACGCUCUCCCUUGGGUUCUCUGUUACCAGCUUUCCUGUCCCCUCCUGCCUUCUAGUCCUUGCCCCUGGGCUGGUGUGUACCUUUAGUCUCGUUUUGCUUUAUGGGUCUGUCUAAUCUUUAGAUGAAGGGUGAACCUCAGGAGUGACUUCAUUACUGAGCUAAAAGGGUAUCCGGGGGCCAUACUCUCGGGGUUUCUCCAGUCUGUGUCAGACCAAUAAGUCUGGUCUUUUUUUGUGAGUUAGAAUUUUGUUCUACAUUUUUCUCCAGCUCUGUCCGGGACCCUCUAUUGUGAACUCUGUCAGAGCAGUCAGUGGUGGUAGCAGGGUACCGUCUAGUUGUACUGGACUCAGUCUGGCAGAGGAUGUGGUAGUGAGAGUAGGAAGCUUUGACGAGGUUAGGCCUGUCAGGAAGAGUCUGAUUGCCAGGACUGUAUAUGAUGGUGGUGGUGGCACAGGGGGUUGUCUCAGUGACGGUAGGUCUUGGGGCCAUAUAGGAUGGAGGCAAGGACCCCGGAAGCAUAAAGAAGUGUAGGCAAGCCUGGCUUGGCAGUGCCAGGGUGACCACCGGUGGAAGAAGGAGAAAAUCCCCUGAACUGGGUGAUCAGGGUACUGUUUGCUUUGCGGCUGUGUGAAACAGUGGCUUUCAAAAGUUCUCUGCAGGGCCACCAACAGGCUGAGAAUUCUCUGCAAAGUGAGAACAGAUUGCCAAAACUUCAAGCCUACAGCAUAUUUCACUGACAGAUUGGGUGCGUUUCUCCUGAGAUAGGGGUGUUCCAAAAGCAGAGGAGGAAAGGGAGGCUGGAAGAGGGGAGGGGGGUGGGGGAAGACAACUGUCAGCUUCAAUGUGGCUUCAGGACAGCUCUUGCAGCUGUGGGCAGAGCAACAACUGCCAAUUUGCUGAGCCUCAGGCGAUUCACCAACUGGAGGGAUGGGGCAGGGUGGGGGCAAUCGGGGUUGUACAGGAGGGUCCCUAGAGGCUGAGGGACACAGACUCUAGCCCUAGGAUGAGUUUGCUUUGCAUGUGAAAGGAACAUCCCUCCUUGCACCAAAUUAAGCCAAUUUGAUCAAAAUUCGUAAUGCAGAGGAGCAUAAUUAAAUUAAAGAUUUUUUUUUUUUUUUUUAAUUAGGCACAGUUUUGAUGAAACUUAAGGGGACUCGGCAGGAAUACUCUCGCUGUCUAUUGAACAUAAUCCUGCCUGGUGAAGAGCUCUUUACUUGAUGAUCUUUAAUGACUGCCCAGCUCUCAACUCCCCCGGGUUUGCUUAGAGAGGGGUGGGGGGAGCGGAGAGGCGGGAGGGCGGAGAGAAGCGCAACAUGCAUCUGCGGGAAGGCGUCUCUUUCAAAGGAAAGCUGGUGCUUAACUUUUGGGGUACCCGCUUACUAGCUUUUCAUCUGCCAAAGUGGAGAAAGAGUGAAGGAUUACGUUGAGGGGCUGUUUUCUAGUAAUGAGUUAGGGGAGAGAGGGGGGCUCCCGGCCGACUGAGAGGCGCCUCCGCCAGCCUUCUUUGGUAACGGCUUCUUGCCUUUCAAUUUCACUUCCACAAAACUUGAACCUUCCCUUGGUUUCCCAACAGAAAAACAAACAAAAAAGGCCUCGGGGAAACAGAGGUCUGGGAAGGGCCCUUAGCCUGCAGGACAGGAUGCUCAGGAGGGCGGGCUGAGUUCGACUGUUUCCCUAGCACAAGGCACAAUACAGCUGCGGUUCCAGGGACCCUAGAGGGCAAAGUAGAACUGCGCAUAGGGUUUCCAAGGCUGUAACCCUUGUGAAAGUUCCAUGGAGCCACUGGUAGGUUCGAACCACUGACUUUUAGGUUAGCAGCAGAGCGCUUAACCGCUGCGUCACCAAGGUUCCUGCAAUACCCAAGGGAGACCAGUAAACACUGGAUUACUGAAAGGAUGGAGGAGUGAAUAAAAUAGUCAGUGAGUGAGUAACCCUGGAACUCUCCUGAUAAAGAGUCAAAAAGCAUGAGCCAGCUUAAAAAAUGAAUUUUCCCUUAUCUCUCCAUUUCUUCUUUUAGCCAACAAAUAUUUCCUGAGGCCUCACUUGUGGCAAACCCUGUACUGGGCACUAGAUAUUCUAUGGUGAAUAAAGAGUUUAGUUUCCUGCCCUAGAGUCCCUGAGUGGCCAAAGGAUUAAGCACUGGCCAUUUGAAUUUACCCAGAGGUGCACCGGAAGAAAGGCCUGGGAACCUGCUUCCUAAAGGUCACAGCCUUGAAAACCCUAUGGUGUACAGUUCUGCUGUGAAACACAUACGGCCGUCAUGAGUUGAAAUCGACUCAAAAGAAACUGGUCUGUUUUUUUUCCCCUCAUGGAGCUAACAGAGAGACAGGCAGUCCACAGAUAUUUAUGAAUAGUGAGAAGCUCUGGGAAGGAAUUACAGAGGUCAAGUUUUGGCCUAGAUCAGGGGUUGGCAAACUGUAGCCUACAGGCCAAAUCCGGCCCAUUGCCUUUUUUUGUUAAUAAAGCUUUACUGAAAGAGAGACACACCUAUUUAUUUAUAUAUUUUCUAUGACUGCUUUAGCUACAAUGGCAGAGUAGUUACAGUAGACAUUUCAUGGCCCAUAAAGCCUAAAAUAUUUAUCUUCUGGCUCCUUAUAGAAAAAGCGUGCAACCCCUGGUUUAGAUGAUCAAAGAAGGCAUCUCUGAGAAGAUGAGGUAUAGUUCAGACCUGGCAGAGGAGUAAAUUUAGCCAGGGAGGAGUAACAUACACAAGGACAAGCAGGACGGAUGGCCCUUCAAUGGGGAUGAGUUUGGUGGGCAAGCACCUAGAAGAAGUUCCAUUUGUUUGGAGAUUGGGAUGGAAGAACACAGUGCCUGGAUGAGUUGGAGGUAGAAGGAGGGUCAUUUGACUCAGAACCUUGUAAUUCAGACCCUGAGAGAGAUUUGUGUAUAAUUCAGAGUGCACUGAAAGAUUUUAAGUAGGAGAAUGAUUUUCAAAGAGCCUUCUGGUCACUCUGGUGAGCGUGGCUUGGAGGAGUCACAGUGCAUUCUCCUCUUAGACAAAGCAAGAGACGGUGGUGGCUUGGAUCAACAUCGUGUCAGUAGAGGUGGAGAGUGGUGGGAAAAUUUAGGUGUAUUUGGAAAGUAAAAUUGACAGGAUUUAGAAACAGAUUGAAUGUUGGAGAGGAGGGUGCAAUGACAAGGAGGAAGCAGUCAAGAAUGACAUCGCUUAGGACUUUGGCUGGAGCCACUGGGUAAAUGGUGGCACUAUUUGCUCAGGUUAGAAAGCCUGGGGUUGGAGAAGGAGAGAAGGUUGGGUGGAUAAUUUAAGAGUUCAAUACUUUUCCUUCUCGUUAAAUUUGCUAUUCGUGUGAGAUUCUAAGUAGAGAUGACAGGGCAACAGUUGGGUGCAUGACCCUGAAGUACAGAUGAGAGACCCAGGCUGUGAUAAGAAUUUGUAAGUCAUGGUAUUAAGCAAUGAGACUGGGUGAGCUCACUUAAGGCAGGAGGUAAAGAGAAAAGGAAACAGGACCGGCAGCUGAUGAUUUUCUGCAGACGGCUUAGUCUCAGUAUGGCCUGUUGUUACUUAUUGCUAUUUAUCAAAACAUCAGGCUGAGGGUAAAUUACUGAAGAAACUUAAUUAAGGAAUAUGCUUAAAGAAAUGCAAUGAGUUACUCUUAAGCGUCUGCAAUUACUCUGAGAUGGCCUCCCAAAAGUGGUAUCAAGCAGAAAGCCUUGUGUCUCUUUAUAAAGUAAAGCAUAAACGGUGUAUUCAUGGAAACCAUGGUGACCGUAGUGGUUAAAAGCUACAACUGCUGACCAAAAAUGGAAACCCUGGUAGCGUAGUGGUUAAGGGCUACAGCUGCUAACCAAAGGGUCAGCAGUUUGAAUCCGCCAGGCGCUCCUUGGAAACUCUGUGGGGCAGUUCUACUCUGUCUUAUGGGGUCGCUAUGAGUCGGAAUCGACUCGAUGGCACGGGUCCGGGGCUAACCAAAAGGUCCACAGCUUGAAUCCACCAGCUGCUCCUUGGAGACUCUAUGAAGCAGUUCUACUCUGUCAUAGGGUCGCUAUGAGUCGGGAUUGACUCGACAGCAAUGGGUGCUUGAAUGAGGCAUGAAUGAGCUUUCGUACAUCCCUCUUCAAGUUGGCUGAUGGUUGAAUUGUCUAACGUGGUGGUUCCUAAUCACAGCUGUCCAGCAGAGUCAAUGGGCCGGCUGGUUAAAAUUACAGCUAUUCCUUGAGCUCCACCCAGAGAAAUUUCAUUGGUCUGGGGGAAGGUUCCAGGAUUCGAUGAUUUUAACCAAGACCCGAAGAGAGCCUGAUAUGGGAAAUCCCAUUGUUUGGCACUUGGUAACCACAGUUUUCCUGCAUGUAUCAAAGGCAAACUUGAGAUCUGCCCCAACCAAACACCACACCUUCUAAACUGGGAAGAUCUAAAUUUGUGAGCUUGGGGUAAGAUAUAAAUAUUGUGCUUAUCCAUGAAGUGGAAUUAUCGAGUUAUUACAUGCUUGCUUCCUUCUUCCUUCCCUUGCCAAGACCUGAUAAUCAUACUCCAUAGAAGUCUUUCAAUCAACCAUCCUCACACAUACACACAUAAACUCUCUCUCUUUCCAUCUCUCUCCCUCUUACACAUAUGCACUCAUGCACACACACACACAUACACACUCCUCUCUAUUUAUCUUCGUUGACACUGCCUUGGUUCAGGUCCCCAUCAUCUUUCACUCAACCUAUUGUAAUAGUUUCCUAACCACCCCUUUUACCAGUUAAGUCAAUAUUAGCUUAAUCUAUUGCAGUGAGACAUUUACUUCUUUGUGUGGCCUUCCUAGACAUGGUCUUAUAACUCUCUUGUGACAGGGUAAUCGUGGCCUUCCAAGGGGAUUGGUCGGUUUUGCCUUAAAAGAGAGCCAAUUCCAGAGCAGAGUAGAGCAGAGCAGAGGAGCCUACCACCAAGGAAGGAGAGACCAGCAGGAGAGACCUGGCAGCAGGAGAUGGCCUGGUGAGCUUCUGGGCCCAUGGAGAGAGAAAGCUGAGAGCCUUUGGGCAGAGACUUAGGGCCAGGGAGAAGCAUGCCUGUGAGCACAGCUGGGAAGAGGGUAUCCUGAUGGAAGAACUGUAUCCUGAGUGUUCCUGAGCCUGGAUUGUAACUGCUACUUCCCUAGUAAACCCCAUAAUUGUGAGUAUGGCCUGUGAGUUCUGUGUGGCCAUUACAAUGAAUUAUUGGACCCAGUAGAGAGUGCUGUGGGAGGGAUGGUUAGUGCCGGAACUGGUAGAGAAGGCAGAGAGAGAAGGCUUGUCUGACAUCUGCCUCAUAGGAGUCAGCCUUAGGCUGUUAAUCUUAGUUCUCCAUCUCCCUUGUGGGGUUGGAGGAGGUCAGAUACUGCCCCCUGCCAUUUUUACAUCCAUCCUCCAAGUUGCUGCUGGGUUAACUUUCAUGAUCCAAAUCUGAUUCCCUCAGGCUCCUGCCCUGUAAGAAAACCCUCCAUUAGUUUCUCAUUGCCUGCUGGGAAAAGUUCAACCCCCUUGGCAUAGUAUUCAAUGACUGUUACAGUGGUACACGGAUCUUUGUCAGCAAGGGUUCCUCCAUUCCCAAUACCGAAUACGCCCAUUCAUGCCUGCCCAUACACACCUCCAUAAAUACUUCCAUGUGUUUGUCUGAAAUUCAUUCAGUCCUAUAACUGUCUGGUUAACUCUUACUCAUUCUGCAAGAUCUAAUGCAAAUGUUCCCUUCAUGCUAUAGUCUUCCUCAGCUCCAAAGGCAGAGCCUGAUGUUUUUUUUUUUUUUCCUUUGUGCUCAAUGUAGCAAUUCGCACAUCUCUUUACUGAAACAUUUACCAUGCUGCAUUGUAAUUACUUGUCUCUUUCUCUCCAAUCCCCAAUUUCCAAAUCAAACUGGGAUGAUUCAGCUUUCUGUCCAUAGCACCUAACUCAAUGCCAGGUUUAGAGUAAACCACCAGUUGCCAUGGAGUCAACUCUGACUCAUGGGGACCCCAUGUGUGUCAGAGUGGAACUGUGCUCCACAGGGUUUGCAAUGGCUGAUUUUUCAGAAGUGCAUUGCCAGGCCUUUCUUCUGAGGCGCUCUGGGUGGACUCAAACCUCCAACCUUCUGGUCAGCAAUCAAGUGUGCUAACAGUGCACCACUCAGGGACUCCCAGGCUUAGAGUAAGCCCUCCAUAAAUACAUUUGGGGAUUUUUUUUUUCCUUUUUCUUUGCCGCCAGCUUCUCAACAAACUGAGUUCUUGAGGCCAUCAGUGUGCCUGUCCCUAGAAGCCCAUCUUCCAGCCUGUGACUUACUGCUUCUAAUUUGCUGGUGGCUAGGAAAACAGAUAACUGGGCUUAUUAGAAUUUUGUGAAAUAUAAGAGAUGAUGGGUCCUAGAGGGACCAGAGUGGCUCUCCUUUGAGUUAAAUGCAUUAGCUUUAGUGAAUGGCCUUCUAGAAGUCUCUUACCUUGCUUCCUGCUGGAUUCCCAGUUGCUUUCUUGUAAUGUUGCAAACUGAUCUCUGAACAAACAAGGGGUGUGUAUUAAUUACACACGAAGUAGAGACACAUUGUUCAUUGUCUUUGUUCCCCAAAAUUAAAAUGGAGCACAAAGAGGAUGAGAGGCCAUGAAAAUUCACAGUCGGUGCCCUUAACCCAAGUCCACAGAUGGUCUUUAGGGAUCUGUGGGUCCUCAGCACAUUGUAUAAAUGUCUGCCUAUGCCUGUGGUUUUUUCUGAGGCUAGGUUCUAUAGCUUUUAAAAGAUUCACAAAUGGGCCUGUGAUCCAUAAGAAUUAGAACCCACUAAUUUAAAAUAUAUUGAUGUGCCAUCUUUUGUUAUUUUCUUAGUGCCCAUCUUUAAAGUUAACACAUGAAUCUUAAAAUGCCUUGGGAAUGUGAAUGAUGUCAAUGCUAUAUGUUGACCCCCGUGUCCUCUGAUCUUAAAAAUCUCUAAACUUGCUUCCUUCACUGAUUGUUUUAGCCUGCAAGCCAAGCAGACAGCAAAGCAGUAUCAUUUCUAAUAAGCCCUGUAAAUAAAUUCAGCUUCUGCUGUAUUAAAAAAAAAAAAAUUUUUUUUCUUUUUGCUGUAUUAGAUCACUGUAAAACAAUUCCCUAAGGCCAAAGGGAUUAAAAAAUAGAAGAAAACACUUUUCACUAAACCAUGCAGAUGCUAGAAAAUAUUCCCGCUAUGGUAAUUUACACAGAUUACUCCGUGACAAAUUGGCUGUUUGAGCUGAUCGUGUUGAUCACUAAAACACUGUGCAGAUUUUCUCCUGGGUUUGGAAAUAUUGUAAAUGCAUUGUGAGGCACAAGGCCUUUAUUACCGACUCACCAGCAUGCAAAUGAGCUUUACAAAAUUCUUGGUGAUCUGAAAGCCAGAGUGAGCAUGUUUUGCUUACAAAACAGUUGUCUUCAGUCUUCUGUGUCAACAAGUAGAAAUGGCUAGGGUUCAUUUAACACCCUUUGAGCAGCGCUGCCACCAGGGUCUGCUGGAAAAAGGACACAAGGUACCACAUAAUGGUGGGUAUGUCCUUGGUGGCUGAAACCCUGGUCAUCAGUCAUCAUCUCUUUUUCAUUACCUGUUGUGCCCAACCUGUUCUUCCUGGUGUGUUUCCAUCCCAUUGAAUGAUGCCCAUUGAUCCAUUUGACCAAAGAGGAAAACAUGGUACCAUUUUGAAUACUCUCGCUCCUCAUUACCUACUCCCAAGUCCUGUUGAGUCGACCCCCUUAUCUUCUCAAAUCUGUCUUCUGCCUUUGGUUCAGGACACCACACAGUCUCUUGUCCGGAUGACAGCAGUAGCUUCCUAACUGGGUUCCCUGACUCCAGUCUUGCCCCUACUCCAGUUCAAGGAGAUCUCUCAAAGGACAAAACAGGUCAUGUUUUUCCUUUCCUCUAGUGUGCUCUUUUCCCAACCCUACUCUACACAGAGUUCAGCAUCUCCCCUAAAUCAGUGUUGAACAAGUACCAGUUUUAAGAAGAGUCAGACUAUUAGCCAGCAGAAUGCCCAUGGGUCUGGCCAGACCUGGUCUCCAUAGGCCAUCACUCUGUUUGGUAACUGCCUGCUUGCUUGUUGGUCUCCUUACCAGCACGUGAACUCUGGGAGAGAAGAGCUGGGUCUUGUUUACAGUUACGGUGAUUUUCUACCAGACUGCCUGGCAUAUGAUAACUAAUCAUUACAUAUUGAAUGAAUAAAUAAAUGAUAUACAACUUGAAGACAACUAAGACUACUCUUUAAUGGCAACACAGAUAAUGAAAAUACACAUUUCUUACAACUAAAGCAACAUCCACUGAUGGGGCUGAGAUGCUGUGUGCACUUCUUUUCUGAUGUUUACUAAUUCUCGUGUAUAUUCAACUAAUUUUUAGUACAAAAUGCUUCUCCUUCAAUCCCAAAUAGUAGUGAAGGGUACAUCUGGGGCUUUUCUCUUUGUCUUCUGAUUCUGACUCCUUGCAUUCAACCGACAAUGAUAUACUUUAUCUAGGAAAAAUGAAGGGGCCAAGGCCACCAGUUGGUGGUAUAUCUGAGAUUAGAGUGAGGUUCUUCACACUGUAGAGGGAAGGUGAUAUUGUGCGAUUAUCCUAGUCGCAAAUUGAUACACGCAUGCCUAAGGCUAUUACAUUAGCUUCAAAACAACUCUGACACAAGACACCAGAAAUUCACAUUCAUCGAGGGCUGGAGGGAAUAAUUCAACACACCUCAUCUGCCAAAUAUUUCCUGCUCUUAAACUAAGGCCAAAAUAAGGAGGUCUUAAAAUAGCAGACAAUUUCUGUUCAUUCUUUUAUUUGUAGUGCCUUUGUCGAACCUGUAACAGCCUAGCUCUGAUAAACAAGUGCCCGUAUCCUUUCCAGAUAUCUAGAUGCCAAGUGCCUAUCUACCUAAUGUGCACAGGGUGGGGUGGGUAGUGUUUCACAUACUUGUUCAUUCUGCCCCAGCCUGCAUUUCAUAAUUCAUCCAGUCCAUGUCUGUGCUGCAAGUUAUGGACCUGGAGCAUCCAAGCUGAGCCCAUGCCCUGAGGAUUCAGUCGCUUGUUUCUGUGACAGCAAGAGGUUUAGAAAACUCAGUUUGAGACAGGCCCUAUUUGGUAGCAAUAGUCUUUUGAUUGCCUAUUCUCAAUCUUUUUUUUUUUUUUUUCUUUGGGGAAACUCCUCUUUCAGUCCCUGUGGCUGUGAUGGGGCUGUCAAUCAUGGUGCCCCACCCCACCAUGGGGAAGGCCUGGGACCUACACUGGCCAGUCCAUGCACCCCUUUUCUGUGCCCACAGUGGCUGAUUCAAGUCUGGGCAUGCAACCAAGCAAGGGUAAUCAAAGUCCCUCUGGGAGUGAUGUUCGAACACAAGGAAAGUAAAAUUCUCUUUCCUUUGAGUGGCCAUCUCAACACUGGUAAGAUCUUACCUGCAAAGUGAAGUCAACCAAGACAGGUGAUAAUAAUGGUGGCAGUUUAUAACAGACAACAUUUAUUGACUGCUGGCCUUAUGCCAAGAACUCUUCUAAGUGCUUUGUAAGUAUUAACUGAUGUUAUCUUUGUAAACCUCAUCAUUAUGAUUAUUGUCAUCAUUGUAAUUAUUAUUGCUAUUAUUAUUCGUAUUUCCACAGAUGAGAAAACUGAGACACCGAGGGGUUAAGUAACUCAUGUUAAAAAAGCUAUUAAGUAGGGGAAGCACUAUUUGAACUCAGGCAGCCUGGCUCCUGAGCCCGUGCUCCAAGACAUUUUGCUCUGCAGCCUCUGGCAUUACCGACCGAGGAAGAGGAGGAGAAGGAAUGAGAGUCAGAGGAGAAGGAGUAGGAGGAGGGAGAUGCAGGCCCUAGGCCAUUGCUGGGGCCCUUAAAUCUAGCCAUGCCUCAAACCACGGCUGCUGGAUUCCCAGUUAAGGAACUCAGUACAUUUCCUUUUUUACUCAAGCCAGUUCGAGUUGGGUUCCUAGCCCUUGCAACUCAACUAAAACACUCUGCCUCCCAUCAUCACUCAUUCUGACUGUCCCUUUUCUUACUGCCUUGCCCUAAAAAAUAAUAAUUAAAAAAUUAAUAUCAGUACAUUAUAGAAAUUCGGAAAACACAAAAAAGACAUCAUGAAGUAGAAUAAAAUUUGCAUGUAAUACAACCAACUCAUGAUAAUAAUGGUUAAUAUUUUUAUGUUUUCUUCUAGUCUUUUUUCUAAUUUUAUGCAUAUAUACAUAUAAACAAGUUGCUGUUCAAUCAGUUCUGACUCAUGGUGACCUCUUGUGUGUCAGAGUAGAACUGUAGCUCCACAGUUUUGGGAAGUAGAUUUCCAGGUCUUUCUUUUGAGGAGUCUGGGUAGACUCAGGCCUCCAACCUUUCGGUUAGUAGUCCAGGGCAUUAAUCGUUUGCACCAACCAGGGACUCCAUAUAUACAUUUAAAGAGAAAGAAAGAAAGAGAAGUUGCCAUCAAGUUGUUUCCGACACAUGGAAACCCCAUGUGUGCAGAGUAAAACUGCUCCACAGGGUUUUCACUGCGACCUUUUGGAAGCAGAUUGCCAGGCCUUUCUUUCUUCCAAGGCACCUCUGGGUGAGUUUGAACCACCAACCUUUUGUUAAGUAGUCAGUGUUUAAACAUUUGGGCCACCAGGGACUCUUAUAGGUACCUGUAGGGUGUGUGUAUAUUUGUUUCUUAUCUUUCUUUUUUUUACUUAACAUUAUAUAAUAAGUAUUCUCCCAAGUUAAAUAUUUUUAAAUAUAGUCUUAAUGGCAGCAUAAUUUGUGUAUGUGUGUAUGUGUGUGUGUGUGUGUGUUUGUGUGUGUCCUUCUAUCCAAUUUCUAUGUGCUUUCUACUGCUUGACCUCUUUCCUGAUUUAGCCUUCUUCUCUGCACACAGGAAGGAUAUCAAAGGCUUUUAGGGUCAGGCUUGGCUUCAGCCUGUGGUCCUUAAUCUCUGUCUCAUUGUUCAGGGCCCUGCUGGCCAGUUUGACAGCCCCUACCAACCCGUGCCACAGCAUGGCCCCCAGCCAGAAGGGUGACCAUGUCAGAAGCAGAGGCUCUCUUGCCACUCCUUGCCCCUCUGUCUGUGAACACAACCAGGAGGACUUGCAGCCAGUGGUUUGGGAAUAAGACAAGCUCUGGGAAAGGUCCAAGCCCCUGUCACAGAUCAGCAAACAUAAAGCCAGGAUGGCCCAGCAGCUCCCAGCAUGAUGUAUUCUAAGGCUUGCCGAGUUGCCAGUUAGCACAGUAAGAAACCUCUGAUUCCUGCCUUUUUAACUCCACAUAUCAAUAACAAUUUGCCUGGCAAAACUCUGGGUGCUGGACCUAAAUAUGCAAACCACCAGGAGGAAACACAAGGAUGACGUUGAGAAAUUAGAUUUAAAAUACCAAAUAAAUGCCUUUCACUCUGUCCCUCCCAGUUAGUGCUGUAUAAAGGUUCAUAACACUUAUGAAGCACUAAAUGCCACCUAAAUGACUAGUUAUUGACAUGUAGACGAGGAAAAAAAGAACACAAAAGGAAGCAGUAAAAAUACUACAACUAUAUAUGAUACAGAUGUCAGUCCUAUAUUUGACAAAUCUCUGGAUGUCAUUCCAAGCCAUGGGCAAUGGUAGAUUAAGAUGAUAAGCCUUUAAGCCCCACCAGGGUAUCUAAAGCAAAGGCUAGCAACAGAAGGGGCAGUAGGUAGUUCAUAGCCAAUGAAAAUAUGAAGCCAGAGGAGUUCAGAAUGGUGCAGUUGUUCAAAGUCAAGUACAAUUAAGAGCAAAAGCAUCAUCCACCCAUUCCUGCAUCCACCCAUCUACCAACCCAUCCACCCAUCCACCCACACACCCAUCCACCCAUCCACUCAUCCAUUCAUCCAUUCAUAGUUCAUUAUGUAUCAGCUUGGAAACCCUGGUAGUAUAGUGGUUAAAAGCUACCUCUGCUAACCAAAAGUAAUGCCUGGUGGAUUCAGCAGUUCGAAUCCAUCAGGUGCUCCUUGGAAACUCUAUGGGGCAGUUCUACUCUGUCCUAUAGGGUCUCUAUAAGUCGGAAUCAGCUUGAUGGCAAGGGGCUUGGUUUUGGUUUUUUGUAUCAGCUAUACUAUCUGCUUUACAACUAUCAAUUCCUAUCGUUUAUUGAGGACUAGCUUUGUCUUAGGUAUUACAUAAAGUGUUUUACAUGAAUCAUCUCAUUUAAUCUUCAUAACUAUCUUUUGAAUUGGGUGUUUUUAUCUCUACCUUUUAAUGAGAAAACUGAAUCCCAGAGAACUUAAAUGACCCCUGGAAGAUCAAGCAAAGAUCAUGUAUCAGCCCUGCAGACCUAUCAGUCCAGCCAUUCUCUCCUUUGUUUUGUAGCUGUUACAUUCUUGCCAUGCACCAAGCUUUGGAUUAGGCAUUAGGGCUACCAGGGAACCUUAGGUAUAUCCUGCGAAACACUGAUUCCUGAGUAAGUGAAGCUAGAAUUAACCAAAUAAGGUCUUAGAGCCAGAAGCCUGGUGGUCCCAGUGAUUAUCACUGGAACUCCCAAAAUGCAGAGUCCGUAGGUUAUGGUACUUUCAGGAAAGGAUACCUAAUUCUGUUUGGGUGGGCAGGCUGGGAUAGCUGAGCCUGGGUCUUAAAGAAUGAGUUGUGUUCAUGAGAUAGAAAGGAGGAAAAUAUGCUCUAAGUGGGGGGACCACCAUAAGCAAAGAUAGGGAGACAUGAAGGAAUAUGGCAUUUUGGGGAUAUAACAAACACUUCAAGGACCACAAAGCAGAAGUGAGAGGACUUGGGACUAUACCCAGCUGUUCCAUACAACUUGCCGCAGCUGACAGCCUGAAGAUACAAACAGAUCAAGUGCCUUUGUAGAAUUGAUAAUUAGACAACCAAGCCCUCUUUACCAUCCCCUUCUUAAAAUAUCCACCCCACCACCCCUAGCCCAUCACACUGUAUUCCCUUAUUUGCUUUGCUUUUUCACAGAGCUUAUCACUGAAAUAUUAUAUUGAAUUAUUUGCUUAUGUGUUAGUAUAUUGUCUUUCUUCCCACUAGAAUGUAGGCUCUAUGAUAGAAGAGAUUUCAUCCAGUUUGUUCUCUAAUCUUUCCUCAGUACUUAGAACAAUGUUUGGCACUGGUACCCAAAACAAAACCCAUUGCCAUUGAUUCAGAUCUGACUCAUAGUGACCCUAUAGAACAAAGUCAACUGCCCCACAGGGUUUCCAAGGAGCAGCUGGUGGAUUCGAACUACUGAACUUUUGGUUAGCUGAUGUGCUCUUAACCACUGUGCCACCAGAGCUCUUAGCACUGGUAUACCCUUGAUAUUUGUUGAAUAAAUAAAUGAACCCAACAGACAAAACAAGGAAGAUCCUGGUACUUGUGAGGGGCAGGAACAAUGGCACUCUUGGUAUGGGUCAGGGUGCUGGUCACUCACGUGGGAUUCAUGAUCUCCCUCAAACUCAUUUUAAGUGGUUUGGAGUCAGAAUUGCUUGAAUGACUAUUGGAGCUUAAGAAGCAGUCAUCCUAUGCCUGUCAUCCACGAAUUUCCUGUCACCAGACUUCAAAUGCUGGCAGGCAAAUUGUUUGAACUUAGGUCACUACUUCCCCCUUCCGUGCCCAUAGCAGACAUCACAAAUCAAUCAUGGCAAUUUUUCCUGCAGCUUUAGAAUCCUUGUCAACAGCACACUCCAGACAGACACUGCUAAUCGAUAGGAGCUGGCAUGAGAGAUGACAGUCACUUUUCAUCCUGAGCAUGAAAAAAAACUAAGCAGAUGUGAGAAAGGAGUAAUAUAAGUAGGCAUAUGGAAGGAGGAACAAAUCCAUAUUCCAAUGGGGUAUUGUAAGUUACAUGUCUUUAGACUUCCCCAACAGUGACAAGCAAAGCAUCCUGAAAGACAAUAUAGCACAGUGAUUAUGAACAUGAACAUUGAUGUCAAGCUAGCUGGGAUCCAGCCCUGGAGUUACAGCUUUGUAGAUGUGAGCAAAUUACUUAACCACUCUGAGUUUUCAUUUGUAAAAUGGACCUAAUAACCCUGUUUAAGUCAUUAGAUUACGAUGGAAGAACACUUAGCCCAAUGCCUAGGAUACAGUAAAUGAUAAAUCAAUAAUAGUUAUUGAUUUUGUUUUCAAAAUUGACAGAUUUGCAAGCAUAAACUUAACCAGGUACUGAUCUUGAACUCUGGAAAUAUUUUUGCCAAAAUCUAUCAGAAACAUCUGGAAUGAAGCCAAUUUCCACCCAACCCCAGCAAGUGGACUGUUCCCUUUUUCCAGGUUUUAUUCAUAUUUAAACUGCUGUUACAAAACAUUAAAGAAAAUGUAUUAAACAAUAAGCACUUACCCAUAAUCACGGCCCUCUUCCACAACUCAUUUUGUUUUUCAUGUUCCUUUCCGGUCUUUCCCCAAAUGUAGACAUUUUUUAUAUAAUUAAAAUCUUGGUCUUCCUUUUCUUUUUUUCUUUUAAUUCUCUGAGCCAGGAAUUAAGUUUCUGGGACUUUCCUUAUCACUCAAUCACAGAUUGAGUUUCUAGGCCUUUCUGCAUCAUUUUGUUGCCGCAUGCAAUUAGAUCACUUGGUCUCUCUUGGGCUCAGUGGCCCUAUUUGUCAAAUGGGGGGUAUAAUACAUUACGUAUGUGGGAGAAAAAUGUGGCAGUCUGCUCCUGUAAAGAUUUACCGUCUUGGAAAUCCUACGGGGCAAUUCUCUGUCCUAUAGUGUUGCUGAGUUGGAAUUGACUGGACAGCGUGGGGUUUUUUGGUUGUUGUUUGUACAUUAUAUAUGGGGGUAUAAUGCAUUAUUGCUCAAUGGUUGGAGAAGAUGAGAAAAUGGACUUGAAAAUAUGGAGCAAAAUAAAAAUGCCACAGAUUCAAAUGGUACUUGGCAUCCUGUGGGUAAGGAAGGUGACAGUUCUCUGUUGUCAUUGUUAGUUGCCAUUGAUUCGAUUCCAAAUCAUGAUCACCCCAUGUGUGCAGAGCUAAACUGCUCCACAGGGUUUUCUUUGGGGAAGUAGAUCACUAGGCCGGUUUUUCAAAGUACCUCUGAGUGGUUUCGAACUGUCUACCUUUCAGCAAUUAUUCGCGUCUUUAGUGCUUUUUUUUUUUUUUUAGUGCUACACAGUUCUCUAGGUGGCUUAUAGCAGGAGGCAGCCUGAUGUGGGGAAAGGGAAUCAGAACCUUGGGCACUUCCCAACCACACCAUGAGCUUGAUGUGUGUCUUUAUCCCGGCCUUUCUUGUAGAAAAGUUCCUCAUGCUUGAAAAAAAGGAAAACAUUGUCUGUCUCAAUCACCUCAGAGAAAAGUUAUCCACAGGAGUAAAUGUAACGUUAAAUGUGGAGGAACUUAAAAAUGCUUAAUGGAUUUGAUUGAUCAAAGUGCUUAUUAUUAAAUGAGCAGGGAAAAGAAAGAAAGCUGAAAUGUAAUAUUUAAAGAAAACCAGGAAAUAAAUCUAUCAAUCGUGUCACUGGUUUUGAGGCCUUUUAAAAAAGAUAGUAAAUUUCACUCGAGUAAUUCUCUCUGCUGUUUAUGGCAAAUUGUUGGAUUUUCUUGUUUGUUUUGUUUCAUUUUGUUUUCUUUCUCUUUUUUGCAAAAGCUUUUAGAUUCAAUGGCCAUUUUCUCCUACCUUCAUAAAUAAUACAAUAUCCUCCAGGGUGCUGAAAUACUUAGAGAACACAUUGAACAAAAUGACCUACAGGUUAUAUAUUAAGUAGUAAAGAAAUAAAAUCAAACAGGGAUCACAAAAAAAAGUAGGUAUGUACACAGACACGUAUGAAACCCAGACAUCAACAAUCACUUCAUCUUCUUGAGCUUCUCCAAAGGAAUCCCCUAGCAUCAAAAUGCUGAAUUUUGAUGAAUUUUAGGAUCUCACUAAAAAGAUGGCAGAGAGAAUUUACCAUGCCAGCCUUCAGCAAACACUUCAAAUAUUCUAUAUCAGUCAGGACAUGUCAGGUUAUGUUGCAAUAACAAACAAUUCCCAAAUUUCAGGACCUUAGCACAGCAGGGACGGAUUACCCAAUAAGCAAGGUAAACAUGUGCUCAGGGCAUCAGCAAAACAGGGGCACCAAUUUUCCAAAGCAAAGACCCAUGCAUGCCAAGCAGAUAGGGCACAAGGAAAAGUGAGCACCCACCACUGCAAUGGAAGGGAACUGGCAGGGCACUAAAUGAAAUUGAUAGCAUUUUAUAAAUUUUGUAUACGAUAACAAUUAUAUUUUUCUUUUCAUUUCAGACAAGUAUGGUAUAACCUCACAUUCAGUUUUCUCUUGUGAACCACAUAAGAAUGCACCAGCAGCACUAUAAUAACGUGACUCAUGACAUAUCGGGUCCUAGCAAAAUGAACCAAAAUGGGUCUUCAGAUUGAGCAUACCCUUGUAUUUGUAUCAUGCUGUUUGUGAUCACUCUUGUCCCUGUCAGGUAUUAGCAGUAGUCCAAUAAACUGUGAAGACACAGCAUCAAAGGAUGAAAAGUGAGUGUUUUUCAUCUUGAAUUAAUACUUAAAAACUUGUGCAUCCAUUCCUUGAUGUAUUAAAAAAAAUUAAUGGAGGUAUAGAAAGUAAAACUACUUUAGAAUCUGAAAUUGUCAUAUCUGCAGAUCCCAUAAAAAGCAGAAUAAUUUUUCUUCUAAUGAUGUAAAUUUUGGGAUCAAAAGAGGGCCAAGUGAUUGUCAACAUCACAGUGGACCAUUUGAAAAUUCAUGUUGAAAAUUUCUGGAUGGUAAACAAACAAGGUUCUGUAGCCAGAAUAUAUUUCUAGGGUGCAAACCUAAUGGUGAAAAUUGUAAGAGGGGGUGGCUACAGUAUUCUCCAUCAGUUGGCUCUGUAUAUUGUUUUGCUUGCAAGCUAUUUAGUCCAGAAUCAUUUAAUUCUCAAUUUAGCCAUGGGUGCAGCUGGAAUAUGAUUGAUAAACAUGAAAACAGUUCAGUUCACAGAGAUCGUAUGUUGUCAUGUUUUAAACCAAAGACGUGGCUUUGAUUUAACUCACUAACAGGAAACACAAGUUAAUAAAGAAUGUCAGUGUUGGAAAGCCGUUUUCCAACUCGUUGUUACUGUCAUUAUAACAAUCACUGAACGUGGACUAUUUUUUCAAGGAAAAAAUGAAGUGUGUGGUCCCCACAAAAUGGAAAUUUUGGGGACUUACUUGAACUUGUGGCUCAGUUUGAUCCCUUUUUAGCAGGUCACAUCUCAAAAUAUGGUAACACAGGAAAGGGCAACCCAUCGUAUAUGUCUAAAACAACAUAUUAAGAAUUAAUAAACUUAAUAUGUGAUAAAGUUUGAUCAACUAUUUUCAGUGAAAUAAGUAUAGCACGAUAUUUCAGUUUGUCUGUAGAUUUCACUCCUAAUCUUUUUUAUACAGAUCAGCUAAGUAUUGUUUUAAGAUGCAUCUCUCCAACAGAUGGAAAAUCUGUUAAGCGAUUUAUCACAUUUACCAUCUUAAAAAGUCACCAAUGACGAAAUUGCAAAUCAAGUACUUCACUAUUUACGUGAAGUUGGCAAAAUUGAUUUUUCUAAGUACAGAAGCCAGCCCUAUGACAAUGCUGCCAAUAUAUUGAGGCAUUACAAAGGCAUGCAAAGAAAAUUUUAGAAUGUGAUAAAUAUGCCAUUUUCAUACCAUGGGCUGUGCAUUCACUUAAUCUUGUAGGGCAUAGCACAGUAGAGCAUAGUCCUGAAGCAGUUGAUUUUUUUAAUACUGUUCAAUUACUGUACACAGUUUUUAUCAUCACUACUCACCAAUGGGCAGUUCUUAAAACAUAUUUAGGCAAUGGUCAAAUAUUAAAAUUUCUUUCUAAUACAUAUUGGGAAGCACAUGCUGUAGCAACAAGUGCAAUCCUGGAAUCAUACACUUAGAUUUAGAUGCCUUCGAAAACAUUGCUGAAGACCAGAUACAAAAAGGAUACCAAAAGAGAAGCUGAAAACAUCACUAACAAAAUGCAAACACUAGAGUAUGUACGUAUGUACGCAUGUUGGUUAUGUGGAAUAAUACACUGCAACAUUUCCAUCAGGCUAGUCAAGCUCUCCAAGAUUCAGAAGUAAAUGUAAAGAAUGCACGGAUCUCUACCAGUCAUUAACAAUCUUACAUAACUUAAGAGAUUUUGAAAACACAACAAAACAAAUACUGCCAAGUAAUGAUUAUGAAGCAGUUCACUGUCACAGAAAGAUUAAAAAAGAAACAAGUAAAUGACAAACAUGUUCCAGAAGUAUCACUGAGUGCCAGAGAUCAAUUUUGUGUCACCACAUACUACACCAUCGACGUAUUUGAUUCUUGCAUGAAAACAAAGGUGAAAGUGUAUGAAGUUCUUUCAAAUAGAUUUUACUUUUUAAACAGUGGGGAUACACCUGAUGAAGACUACAUGAAGGCAUCCAAACAAUUAGCACAGGGUUAUUCCAAUGGCUUAAAUACAAACCUUUACCGAGGAGUGGCAAUUUCAUUCUUAUUUGAGAAUUCAGUUUACAGAUUCAGGAAAGACAAACUUUACUCAUGUGGGCAUGUAUGAUUCUAUAAUAGAAGAUAAAAUACAAAGCGUGUUUCCCAAUGUUUAAAUUGUUUUACAUGUAUUCCUAACUUUAAUGAUCACAAACUGCACCGUGGAACACUCAUUUUUGGCUUUAAAGAGACUCAAAAACCCUCAGCGUACAAUGAUUCAAAAAAGAGUCAAUUCAUUACCCUUAUUAUGUGUGAAAGUAGAUAUUCUUUGGCAGUUUAAUUGUGAUGAAAUCAUUGAAGAAUUUGUAAGAGCAGUGAAUAGAAAGAAACGUUUUUAAUUAUAAUAUGUUAAAGAUGAAAAAUCUAUCUAAAAUUAAAAAAUAGUAAUUUGUUGUAACAUUUGUUUUCUGAGCAUGAAAUUUUCUUUUAUGACAUGUUUUCAUUUGUUCAUUUAUAAUUAUAGCUUUAUUAUGAAACAAGCAUCAAAAUUAAUGUAUGAGCCAUUUAAAGCAAAAGGAGAUAAACAGAAUUUUACACUGAUCGUUGAAACAACUAAGUUUACUGACUCAUUUUCUUUGUUGUAGAAUAUUCUUUUUGUAGAAAAUGUGAUAUAUAGUAAAUAUCUUAGUACCCCGUAUCCACUAAAAAUUUAAUAAUCCUCUUCAUCUCACUCCACUAAAAUGGCAUAGGCCACUUUUGCAGUCAAUUGCUAAUAUUAUUGCUGUUGUUGUUAGGUGCUGUCAAGUUGGUUCUGACUCAUAACAAUCCUAUGUACAACAGAACAAAACAUUGCCUGGCUCUGUGCCAUCCUCACAAUUGUUGUUACGUUUGAGACACAGCCGCUAUGUCAAUCCAUCUCAUUGAGGGUCUUCCUCUUUUUCACUGACCCUCCCUCCGCUUUAACAAGCAUGAUGUCCUUCUCCAGGGACUGAUCCCUCCUGAUAACAUUUCCAAAGUAUGUGAGACAUAGUCUCACCAUCCUUGCUUCUAAGGAGCAUUCUGGCUAUAAUUCUUCCAAGAAAGAUUUGUUUGUUCUUUUGGCAGUCCAUGGUAUAUCCAAUAUACUUCCCCACCAGCAUAAUUCAAAGUUGUCAAUUCUUCUAAGGUCUUCCUUAUUCAUUGUCCAACUUUUGCAUAAGUGUGAGGCCAUUGAAAACGUCAUGACUUGGAUCAGGCACACCUUAGUCUUCAAGUUGACAUUUUUGCUUUUUAACACUUUAAAGGGAUCUUUGCAGCUGAUUUGCCCAGUGCAAUGCGUCUUUUGAUUUCCUGACUGCUGCUUCCAUGGCUGUUGAUUGUGGAUCCAAGUAAAAUGAAAUCCUUGACAACUUCAAUCUUUUCUCCAUUUAUCAUGAUGUCGCUUAUUGGUCCAGUUAUGAGGAUUUUUGUUUUCUUUAUGUUGAGGCAUAAUCCAUACUGAAGGCUAUAGUCUGAUUUUCAUCAGUAAGUGCUUCAAGUUGUCUUCACUUUCAGCAAGCAAGGCUGUGUCAUCUGCAUAAUGCAGGCUGUUAAUGAGUUUUCCUCCAAUUCUGAUGCCCAGUUCUUCUUCAUUUAGUCCAACUUCUUGGAUUAUUUGUUCAGCAUACAGAUUGAAUAAGUAUGGUGAAAGAAUAUAACCCUAAUGCACACCUUUACUGACAUUAAAUAUAAAUAUAAAUGUGCUAAUAUUAUAAAAAAUAUUAUAGUCCCAUUUGAAAAGAAGUUACAUUAUGGAUAUCUAAGAGACAUACAUACGUAUACAUGUAUAUAUGUAUAACUCACAUAUCCCAUUGGCAUACUUAAAUAAACAAAGGAGAGAGUACCACAGAUUAUCAGUGUUUAGGACCCUCACACACCUUGAUCUGGCCCUGAGAACAAAUGAUUAUUUCUCAAUCA